rnacentral:rRNA from 1 species
AGUGGCGAACGGGUGAGUAACACGUGGGUGAUCUGCCCUGCACUUUGGGAUAAGCCUGGGAAACUGGGUCUAAUACCGAAUAUUUCCUUUUGGUCGCAUGGCUGGGAGGGGAAAGCUUUUGCGGUGUGGGAUGGGCCCGCGGCCUAUCAGCUUGUUGGUGAGGUUAUGGCUUACCAAGGCGACGACGGGUAGCCGGCCUGAGAGGGUGACCGGCCACACUGGGACUGAGAUACGGCCCAGACUCCUACGGGAGGCAGCAGUGGGGAAUAUUGCACAAUGGGCGCAAGCCUGAUGCAGCGACGCCGCGUGGGGGAUGACGGCCUUCGGGUUGUAAACCUCUUUCAAUAGGGACGAAGCGCAAGUGACGGUACCUAUAGAAGAAGGACCGGCCAACUACGUGCCAGCAGCCGCGGUAAUACGUAGGGUCCGAGCGUUGUCCGGAAUUACUGGGCGUAAAGAGCUCGUAGGUGGUGUGUCGCGUCGUCCGUGAAAACUCACAGCUUAACUGUGGGCGUGCGGGCGAUACGGGCAGACUUGAGUACUGCAGGGGAGACUGGAAUUCCUGGUGUAGCGGUGGAAUGCGCAGAUAUCAGGAGGAACACCGGUGGCGAAGGCGGGUCUCUGGGCAGUAACUGACGCUGAGGAGCGAAAGCGUGGGGAGCGAACAGGAUUAGAUACCCUGGUAGUCCACGCCGUAAACGGUGGGUACUAGGUGUGGGUUUCCUUCCUU